CUACCGUUGCCAAAGGAAACCAAGGCCCCAGGCCACUAAGCUAGCAGCAAUGGAGGAAGGACUUCUGGAACUUCCCUAAGAACCAGCUGCUCAAAAUGACUGACUGAGCAUAUAACUGAUGUAAGAAGAAGAAGAGGACGGAGUUAGGACACCUGUGGACAGGAGAGACUUGACACUUCAGCUAGUCUAGAUGCAGUUGUCAGAUAUGACGUUCUUCCUGAAAACGUUGCCACCAUGAAGGACAGUGGACUUCAAAUACAUGGUCUGGGCCACGCUGGCAGGAGUCUAAGAAAGGCAGCGCAGAUGUCUUUCUCCCCAGCCAUGUCCUCCAGCUCUUUUUGGGCAGAUGCCAGAUGGGACGUAUUUAACCCUAUCAGUGUGUCUGUCCUGUGGUCUUCUCCCAGUUGGACAAACUCAGACAACCUCCAAAGGUAAGCUUCCGUGAGGCAUCCUGAUCAGAUGCCUAAACCACAUUAACUGGCUCUUUUCAACACGUCAGACCUACGGCCGCUACGGUAAUGCC